CAGAGGGGGACUGCGGAGGACAUUA
rnacentral:rRNA from 1 species